UACGUAGGAUGCAAGCGUUGUCCGGAAUUAUUGGGCGUAAAGAGCGAGCAGGCGGUUUGGAAAGUUGGACGUGAAAUUUUAGGGCUUAACCCUAAAGGGUCGUCCAAAACUCCCAGACUAGAGUGCAGGAGAGGAAAGCGGAAUUCCCGGUGUAGUGGUGAAAUGCGUAGAGAUGCGGAGGAACACCGAUGGCGAAGGCAGCCCCCUGGGCUGACACUGACGCUCAGGCACGAAAGCGUGGGGAGCAAACAGG
rnacentral:rRNA from 1 species